rnacentral:rRNA from 1 species
AUUGAACGCUGGCGGCAUGCCUUACACAUGCAAGUCGAACGGUAACGGGCCUUCGGGUGCCGACGAGUGGCGAACGGGUGAGUAAUGCAUCGGAACGUACCUUUCAGUGGGGGAUAACGUAGCGAAAGUUACGCUAAUACCGCAUAUUCUGUGAGCAGGAAAGCAGGGGAUCGCAAGACCUUGCGCUGAUUGAGCGGCCGAUGUCAGAUUAGCUAGUUGGUGAGGUAAAGGCUCACCAAGGCGACGAUCUGUAGCGGGUCUGAGAGGAUGAUCCGCCACACUGGAACUGAGACACGGUCCAGACUCCUACGGGAGGCAGCAGUGGGGAAUUUUGGACAAUGGGGGCAACCCUGAUCCAGCCAUGCCGCGUGAGUGAAGAAGGCCUUCGGGUUGUAAAGCUCUUCGGUCCGGGAAGGAAAUCGCAUGGGCUAAUACCCUGUGCGGAUGACGGUACCGGCAUAAGAAGCACCGGCUAACUACGUGCCAGC